rnacentral:rRNA from 1 species
UGCGUAGGCGGUGCAGAAAGUUGGGUGUGAAAUCCCUCGGCUCAACCGAGGAAUUGCGCCCAAAACUGUUGCACUAGAGGAAGACAGAGGUACGCGGAACUUAGGGUGGAGCGGUGAAAUGCGUUGAUAUCCUAAGGAACACCGGUGGCGAAAGCGGCGUACUGGGUCUUAUCUGACGCUGAGGCACGAAAGCUAGGGGAGCGAACG